rnacentral:rRNA from 1 species
CAAUACCAUGAGUAAAGUGGCGCACGGGUGAGUAACACGUGACUAACCUACCCUGGAGUGGGGGAUAACCGAGGGAAACCUCAGCUAAUACCGCAUAAUACCCACGGGUCAAAGGAGCAAUUCGCUUCAGGAGGGGGUCGCGGCCGAUUAGUUAGUUGGCGGGGUAAUGGCCCACCAAGACUGUGAUCGGUAUCCGGCCUGAGAGGGCGCACGGACACACUGGAACUGAAACACGGUCCAG